CAGCAGCCACGGGAAUACAGAGGGUGCGAGCGUUAAUCGGAUUUACUGGGCGUAAAGCGUGCGUAGGCGGCUUUUUAAGUCGGAUGUGAAAUCCCUGAGCUUAACUUAGGAAUUGCAUUCGAUACUGGGAAGCUAGAGUAUGGGAGAGGAUGGUAGAAUUCCAGGUGUAGCGGUGAAAUGCGUAGAGAUCUGGAGGAAUACCGAUGGCGAAGGCAGCCAUCUGGCCUAAUACUGACGCUGAGGUACGAAAGCAUGGGGAGCAAACAGGAUUAGAUACCCCAGUAGUCCCUGUCUCUUAACA
rnacentral:rRNA from 1 species